rnacentral:rRNA from 1 species
AUUGAACGCUGGCGGCAGGCUUAACACAUGCAAGUCGAGCGGUAACAGAGAGAAGCUUGCUUUUCUGCUGACGAGCGGCGGACGGGUGAGUAAUGCCUAGGAAUCUGCCUAGUAGUGGGGGAUAACUUGCCGAAAGGUAAGCUAAUACCGCAUACGUCCUACGGGAGAAAGGAGGGGACCUUCGGGCCUUUCGCUAUUAGAUGAGCCUAGGUCGGAUUAGUUAGUUGGUGAGGUAAUGGCUCACCAAGACCGCGAUCCGUAACUGGUCUGAGCGGAUGAUCAGUCACACUGGAACUGAGACACGGUCCAGACUCCUACGGGAGGCAGCAGUGGGGAAUAUUGGACAAUGGGGGGAACCCUGAUCCAGCCAUGCCGCGUGUGUGAAGAAGGUCUUAGGAUUGUAAAGCACUUUAAGUUGGGAGGAAGAGCAGUUAACUAAUAUUUGACUGUUUUGACGUUACCGACAGAAUAAGCACCGCCUAACUUCGUGCCAGCAGCCGCAGUAAGAC